GACGGAGGGUGCAAACGUUGUUCGGAAUCACUGGGCGUAAAGGGCGCGUAGGCGGACUCGUAAGUCGGGAGUGAAAACUCGGGGCUCAACCCCGAGCCUGCUUCUGAAACUGCGAGUCUUGAGGACCGGAGAGGAAAGUGGAAUUCCUAGUGUAGCGGUGGAAUGCGUAGAUAUUAGGAAGAACACCAGUGGCGAAGGCGACUUUCUGGACGGUUCCUGACGCUGAGGCGCGAAAGCUAGGGGAGCAAAC
rnacentral:rRNA from 1 species